CUUGGGAAGAGCGCCACUGGGGGUCCAAUGAAAGGGGAGUGAGUCUCCGUCUCUGACCCACAGGAUGUGUGAGUGUCCUGGGGCUACGUAAUAGUGCCCCACGACGGCGUGGCUAACAACAAGUGAAGCACAUUCUCUCACAGCUCUGGAGACCAGAAAGCAAGAUGGCGGCAGGGUUGGUUCCUUCUGGAGGUGCAGAGGGAGAAUCCUUCCUUGCCUCGUCCGAUUUCCGGUGCUGCCGCCAGUCCUCAGUGCUCCUUGGCUGGUAGAUGCAUCACUCCAGUCUCUGCCUCUGUUUUCCCACGGCCUUUCCCUCUGUGCGUCUCCAAUUUUCCUCUCUCACCUCUUACAAGGACACCCGUCACUGGAAGUAGGACCCAGUCUAAAUCUGGACGACCUCAACCCAAGAUCCUUAUGUUAAUUACAUCUGUCAAGACUAUAUCCAAGUAAGGUCGCAUUCACGGGCACCAGGGGUUAGGGCAUGGCCAUAUCUUUUUGGGGGGCACCACUGAACCCUUUACAUGGAUGACCUCAGUCAAGGGCACCUUAUUUUCCAUUUCCUCAUUGGCGAACUGCCUGGGGUCUAGACUGAGUCAGGGGUUUCAACCUUAUGGCCCCUUGAAAUUCCCCCAGGUCCCUGAAAGAAAGGGGUUCCUGACCCUCCUCCAGAGGUCCUCAGGCCCUUUCCGGGGCUGGAGGUGGGCACUGGGAUUUCUUAAAGUGCUUCCCAGAAGUUGACACACUCAUCCUGGUUUUCGUGGGACUUUCCGAGUGCUGGUAGUGAAAGUCCCACAUCUGGAGAAAUGCCUCCGUCCUGGGAAAACUGGGUUGGUCCCUCUCUCCGUGGGGCAGGCAGCAGGCAAAGCCACGGACUCCACCCCCCUGGGGGGGCCCCUCUGCCUCUGAGGCUCCUGGGUAGGGGCACAGAGGGAGCCACCAUGAACGUCACCCCAAACUCCCACUUGCUUGCUCCUCCCCUCUGCCCCUCGUGGUGGCUUUGCCCAAAACAGAGAGUGUGUGCACAGCCCUCCUCUUGGCUCUAUAACUGAAGCCAGACGUCCUUUCAGAGCAGCCUGGCGUGGAGCAGGACGUACACCCGGCACAGGACACCAGGCAGCCUUUGCUCCUGCAUCCCUCUUCUCCUCGAGUUUCUGGGCCCCUUCCUCUGUACCCCACAUCCCUGAUGGGGUCCAAGGGUGGCUCAGAAUGUUCCACAGCAUCUUGAGGGCACAGCCAAGGGCAGCCGCCAGCCACAGCCUGUCAGGCUGGGCUCAGCAAUGAGCUCUAUCACAAUGGCUGAAGUCAUGGUUUCUGGACCCCAAUUCCUAGUGCCCGGGCCCCAGAGGAGGACAAGGAAAGGGAGGGGCAGACUAUUGCACAAAAGGGGGACUGCAAACUGCAAGAACGAACCACCUAAGAGCCCUCUGGAGCGUUACCACAGGGGGCGUGAAGGCUGGCCCUUUUUGCAGAUGGGGUCACUGUGUGUAACUGCUACGGAAAUGGGGUCCGGGCCACCUUCCAGGUGCCCCCUGCAGCACUGCAGGUGCAUAGGGCAGCCUCAUUCCCCAGGGCCUGGACCUUCCCAAGGGCACUGUAAGGACCGUGUGACUCGAUUCAGGGCCUGAAAAGAAAGUGCGUCCCCGUCAACGGGAUUCGAGCUUUGGGGAUCAUUUGCUUCUCCCUGGAGACAGAGUGAUGUGGGUCUUCCUUCCUUCUAUUUCGCAGGAUGUAAGUGUGUGGGGGUGUCGGGUCUGGGGAGGGAGGCACCUCCUCCAGGCCAGCCCUCGCUUAUUCGUCUCCCUCACAAUUUGUUCCCUUAUGAUUCACUCUAUUCCAAACCGACCAUCAUCCCUGCUCCGAGACAAACAUCGCUCACAAAACUCGGCACACACAGAAUCGGUGAAAAAUCAGGUUCAUGGCCACAUCCAUAAGAAAGAGAACACGGCACACCUCCAUUCCCCAGCCUCUAAUUUCAGAGCCUGGGUCAGCGAUGAUGUUGAUUCUAUGUGAGAACCAGAUUUAAGGGAUAGAACUGUGAUUCCACGCUUUUGCCAUCCCCAUAAGCAGCUCCAGUGCAAGGCUGCCAGCCAAGGAGAAGAAGCCGGCGGGCGUGGGUGGGGCUGGGACCCCUGUCCCAUUGGAUGCAGCAGCCAUGCAGGGGCAGACAUUCUCCCGGGACAUUCUAGACAUCUAUGCACUAUGGUCCUUCUGAGGGCAUUUGUGCUCAUCAAUGACUCUUGAACAAGUCUUGGUUCGGAAAAGAACCAUGAGCCGUACUCAUGUUGGUUUUCAUUUGGUUUAGUCUUCAGCAUGUUUUCUGAAAGAUCCUACUGACCCCUCAAAGCUAAAAUUAGGAAAUGCAAAUGGGUGCAGGUGAUGGUUAAUGUCAUGUUUACCUUGACUGGGCAAUGGGGCACCCAGACAUUUGGUCAAACGCUAUUCUGGGUGCGUCUGUGAGGGUGUUUUCAGAGAAGACUAACAUUUGAAUUGGAGGACUGAGUAAAGCAGACCGCCCUCCCCAAUGGGGGUGGGCCUUGACCAAUCAGUUGAAGACUUGGGCAGAACAAAGGCUGGCCUUCCCUGAGUAAGAGAGAAUUCCUCCUACCUGACUGCCUUUGGGCUGAGACACGAGCUUUUUCCCGCCUUUGGACUCAAACUGAAGCAUCAGCUCUUCCUGGGUCUGGAGCCUGCAGGCCUUCAGACAGGAACUUCACCAUCGACUCUCCUGCUGGAGCCACGCCAUCGCCGUCCUCCGUCUCCAGCUUGCUGACACCCCUCGAAGAUCUUGGGACUCGUUGGCUCCCACAAUUGUGUGAACCAGUUCCUCAUAAUAAAUCCUUCAAGUAUAUCUGUGUGUCUGUAUAUCUCCUGUUGCCUCUGUUUCUCUUGAGAACCCUGAUGCAUAUAGUGUAUGUCUGAGAAUUUAAAAAUUACUUAUUGUAUUUAUUGGACUGACUCUUUCCUAUUCUUAAUUGCUAAAAUCCUUGGUGGGGAGGGGCUGCA
rnacentral:lncRNA from 1 species